rnacentral:rRNA from 5 species
CUGAUGCGUUGUUGGGUAGGGGAGCGUUCUGUAAGCCUGCGAAGGUGGCCUGUGAGGGUUGCUGGAGGUAUCAGAAGUGCGAAUGCUGACAUAAGUAACGAUAAAGCGGGUGAAAAGCCCGCUCGCCGGAAGACCAAGGGUUCCUGUCCAACGUUAAUCGGGGCAGGGUGAGUCGACCCCUAAGGCGAGGCCGAAAGGCGUAGUCGAUGGGAAACGGGUUAAUAUUCCCGUACUUGGUGUUACUGCGAAGGGGGGACGGAGAAGGCUAUGUUGGCCGGGCGACGGUUGUCCCGGUUUAAGCGUGUAGGUGUGUGUUCCAGGUAAAUCCGGUUCACUUUAACACUGAGGCGUGAUGACGAGGCACUACGGUGCUGAAGCAACAAAUGCCCUGCUUCCAGGAAAAGCCUCUAAGCAUCAGGUAACAUCAAAUCGUACCCCAAACCGACACAGGUGGUCAGGUAGAGAAUACCAAGGCGCUUGAGAGAACUCGGGUGAAGGAACUAGGCAAAAUGGUGCCGUAACUUCGGGAGAAGGCACGCUGACACGUAGGUGAAGUGAUUUACUCAUGGAGCUGAAGUCAGUCGAAGAUACCAGCUGGCUGCAACUGUUUAUUAAAAACACAGCACUGUGCAAACACGAAAGUGGACGUAUACGGUGUGACGCCUGCCCGGUGCCGGAAGGUUAAUUGAUGGGGUCAGCGCAAGCGAAGCUCCUGAUCGAAGCCCCGGUAAACGGCGGCCGUAACUAUAACGGUCCUAAGGUAGCGAAAUUCCUUGUCGGGUAAGUUCCGACCUGCACGAAUGGCGUAAUGAUGGCCAGGCUGUCUCCACCCGAGACUCAGUGAAAUUGAACUCGCUGUGAAGAUGCAGUGUACCCGCGGCAAGACGGAAAGACCCCGUGAACCUUUACUAUAGCUUGACACUGAACAUUGAGCCUUGAUGUGUAGGAUAGGUGGGAGGCUUUGAAGUGUGGACGCCAGUCUGCAUGGAGCCGACCUUGAAAUACCACCCUUUAAUGUUUGAUGUUCUAACGUGGACCCGUGAUCCGGGUUGCGGACAGUGUCUGGUGGGUAGUUUGACUGGGGCGGUCUCCUCCUAAAGAGUAACGGAGGAGCACGAAGGUUGGCUAAUCCUGGUCGGACAUCAGGAGGUUAGUGCAAUGGCAUAAGCCAGCUUGACUGCGAGCGUGACGGCGCGAGCAGGUGCGAAAGCAGGUCAUAGUGAUCCGGUGGUUCUGAAUGGAAGGGCCAUCGCUCAACGGAUAAAAGGUACUCCGGGGAUAACAGGCUGAUACCGCCCAAGAGUUCAUAUCGACGGCGGUGUUUGGCACCUCGAUGUCGGCUCAUCACAUCCUGGGGCUGAAGUAGGUCCCAAGGGUAUGGCUGUUCGCCAUUUAAAGUGGUACGCGAGCUGGGUUUAGAACGUCGUGAGACAGUUCGGUCCCUAUCUGCCGUGGGCGCUGGAGAACUGAGGGGGGCUGCUCCUAGUACGAGAGGACCGGAGUGGACGCAUCACUGGUGUUCGGGUUGUCAUGCCAAUGGCACUGCCCGGUAGCUAAAUGCGGAAGAGAUAAGUGCUGAAAGCAUCUAAGCACGAAACUUGCCCCGA